rnacentral:rRNA from 1 species
CCAAUAGCGUAUAUUAAAGUUGUUGCAGUUAAAAAGCUCGUAGUUGAAUUUCGGGAUUGACACAUCGGUCGUGCCUUAAGGGGUAUGAACUGGUGUAGUCAAUUUCUCACCUUCUGGAGAACCGCGAUGUCCUUAAUUGGGUGCCGCGAGGAACCAGGACCUUUACUUUGAAAAAAUUAGAGUGUUUAAAGCAGGCAUUUUUGCUUGAAUACAUUAGCAUGGAAUAAUAAAAUAGGACGGCAUGAUUCUAUUUUGUUGGUUUCUAGGAUCACCGUAAUGAUUAAUAGGGUUAGUUGGGGGCAUUAGUAUUCAAUUGUCAGAGGUGAAAUUCUUGGAUUUAUUGAAGACUAACUACUGCGAAAGCAUUUGCCAAGGAUGUUUUCAUUAAUCAAGAACGAAAGUUAGGGGAUCGAAGACGAUCAGAUACCGUCGUAGUCUUAACCAUAAACUAUGCCGACUAGGAAUCAGACGAUGUUAAUUUUUUAAUGACUCGUUUGGCACCUUACG